rnacentral:rRNA from 1 species
UACGUAGGGUGCGAGCGUUGUCCGGAAUUACUGGGCGUAAAGAGCUCGUAGGUGGUUUGUCGCGUUGUUCGUGAAAUCUCACGGCUUAACUGUGAGCGUGCGGGCGAUACGGGCAGACUUGAGUACUGCAGGGGAGACUGGAAUUCCUGGUGUAGCGGUGAAAUGCGCAGAUAUCAGGAGGAACACCAAUGGCGAAGGCAGCUCGCUGGGACGGUACUGACGCUGAGACGCGAAAGCGUGGGGAGCAAACAGG